rnacentral:rRNA from 1 species
GGGGAAUCUUGCGCAAUGGGCGAAAGCCUGACGCAGCAACGCCGCGUGUGUGAUGAAGGUCUUCGGAUCGUAAAGCACUGUCGGGAGGGACGAAUAAGGGCCGGGUGAACAAUCCGGCGCGAUGACGGUACCUCCAAAGGAAGCACCGGCUAACUCUGUGCCAGCAGCCGCGGUAAUACAGAGGGUGCAAGCGUUGUUCGGAAUUAUUGGGCGUAAAGCGCGUGUAGGCGGUCUCGCAAGUCGGAUGUGAAAGCCCUCGGCUUAACCGAGGAAGUGCGUUCGAAACUACGAGACUUGAGUACCGGAGAGGGUGGCGGAAUUCCCGGUGUAGAGGUGAAAUUCGUAGAUAUCGGGAGGAACACCAGUGGCGAAGGCGGCCACCUGGACGGCUACUGACGCUGAGACGCGAAAGCGUGGGGAGCAAAC